rnacentral:rRNA from 1 species
GAAUGCUGACAUAAGUAACGAUAAAGCGGGUGAAAAGCCCGCUCGCCGGAAGACCAAGGGUUCCUGUCCAACGUUAAUCGGGGCAGGGUGAGUCGACCCCUAAGGCGAGGCCGAAAGGCGUAGUCGAUGGGAAACGGGUUAAUAUUCCCGUACUUGGUGUUACUGCGAAGGGGGGACGGAGAAGGCUAUGUUGGCCGGGCGACGGUUGUCCCGGUUUAAGCGUGUAGGUGUGUGUUCCAGGUAAAUCCGGUUCACUUUAACACUGAGGCGUGACGACGAGGCACUACGGUGCUGAAGCAACAAAUGCCCUGCUUCCAGGAAAAGCCUCUAAGCAUCAGGUAACAUCAAAUCGUACCCCAAACCGACACAGGUGGUCAGGUAGAGAAUACCAAGGCGCUUGAGAGAACUCGGGUGAAGGAACUAGGCAAAAUGGUGCCGUAACUUCGGGAGAAGGCACGCUGACACGUAGGUGAAGUGAUUUACUCAUGGAGCUGAAGUCAGUCGAAGAUACCAGCUGGCUGCAACUGUUUAUUAAAAACACAGCACUGUGCAAACACGAAAGUGGACGUAUACGGUGUGACGCCUGCCCGGUGCCGGAAGGUUAAUUGAUGGGGUCAGCGCAAGCGAAGCUCCUGAUCGAAGCCCCGGUAAACGGCGGCCGUAACUAUAACGGUCCUAAGGUAGCGAAAUUCCUUGUCGGGUAAGUUCCGACCUGCACGAAUGGCGUAAUGAUGGCCAGGCUGUCUCCACCCGAGACUCAGUGAAAUUGAACUCGCUGUGAAGAUGCAGUGUACCCGCGGCAAGACGGAAAGACCCCGUGAACCUUUACUAUAGCUUGACACUGAACAUUGAGCCUUGAUGUGUAGGAUAGGUGGGAGGCUUUGAAGUGUGGACGCCAGUCUGCAUGGAGCCGACCUUGAAAUACCACCCUUUAAUGUUUGAUGUUCUAACGUGGACCCGUUACCCGGGUUGCGGACAGUGUCUGGUGGGUAGUUUGACUGGGGCGGUCUCCUCCUAAAGAGUAACGGAGGAGCACGAAGGUUGGCUAAUCCUGGUCGGACAUCAGGAGGUUAGUGCAAUGGCAUAAGCCAGCUUGACUGCGAGCGUGACGGCGCGAGCAGGUGCGAAAGCAGGUCAUAGUGAUCCGGUGGUUCUGAAUGGAAGGGCCAUCGCUCAACGGAUAAAAGGUACUCCGGGGAUAACAGGCUGAUACCGCCCAAGAGUUCAUAUCGACGGCGGUGUUUGGCACCUCGAUGUCGGCUCAUCACAUCCUGGGGCUGAAGUAGGUCCCAAGGGUAUGGCUGUUCGCCAUUUAAAGUGGUACGCGAGCUGGGUUUAGAACGUCGUGAGACAGUUCGGUCCCUAUCUGCCGUGGGCGCUGGAGAACUGAGGGGGGCUGCUCCUAGUACGAGAGGACCGGAGUGGACGCAUCACUGGUGUUCGGGUUGUCAUGCCAAUGGCACUGCCCGGUAGCUAAAUGCGGAAGAGAUAAGUGCUGAAAGCAUCUAAGCACGAAACUUGCCCCGAGAUGAGUUCUCCCUGAGACUUAGAGUC